rnacentral:rRNA from 1 species
CCAGAAGCUGGGCGUAUUACGGAAGGUGUGCAAGCGUGUACUCGGAAUUAUCUGGGCGUAAAGCUGCACGCGGGUACUUUUGUUAAGUCGGAUGGUAAAAGUGCCCGCGGGCUGCAACCGUGGGAUACGUGCAUGUGAUAACUGGCAGAGUCUGUAGUCUGAUAGCAAGAAAGAGGUAGAAUUCGCAUGUGGUAGGCGUUGAAAUGGCGUAGUGGAUCUGGAGGCGAACUACCUGGUUGGUUAAGGCUGACGCUCCUUGUACUGAGACUGUGUGCAGCUGUGAAAAGCGUGGGGAACCAACCAGAUUAGGAUACCCUGUUAUUCCAUGCGUUAAAGGAGAUGAUUAGAAGAUUGUGCCCUACGACCCGUGGCUUCCGAAGCUAACGCGUUAAGCUUCCGCCUGGGGAGUACGGAGCCCGCAAGGUUAAAACUCAAAUGAAUUGACGGGGGCCCGCACAAGCGGUGGAGCAUGUGGUUUAAUUCGAUGCAACGCGAAGAACCUUACCUGGUCUUGACAUCCUACGAAAUUUCCAGAGAUGGAUUUUGUCACUUCGGGAACAGUGAGACAGGUGCUGCAUGGGUUGUCGUCAGCUCGUGUUGUGAAAUGUUGGGUUAAGUCCCGCGAAAACGAGCGCAACCCUUAUCCUUUGUUGCCUCGGUCCGGCCGGCCUAACUCAAAGGAGACUCCCAGUGAUAAACUGGAGGAAGGUGGGGAUGACUCCAAGUCAUCAUCCCCCUUACGCCCAGGGCUACACACGUGUUCCAAUGGCGCAUACAAAGAGAACCGACCUCGCGAGAGCAAGCGGUCUUCAUAAACUGUUUUCUAGUCCGGAUUGGAGUUUGCAAUUGGACUCCAUGAAGUGGGAAUCGUUGGUAAUCGUGGAUCACAAUGCCCCGGUGAAUACGUUCCCGGCCUUUACCACACCCCCCGUCACACCAUGGGAGUGGGACCAAAAGAAGUAGGAGGUUACCCUUCGGGACUCCAGA